rnacentral:rRNA from 1 species
ACAGAGGUCUCAAGCGUUGUUCGGAUUCAUUGGGCGUAAAGGGUGCGUAGGUGGCGAUGUAAGUCUGGUGUGAAAUCUCGGGGCUCAACCUCGAAAUUGCAUUGGAUACUGCGUUGCUUGAGGAUUGUAGAGGAGAGUGGAAUUCACGGUGUAGCAGUGAAAUGCGUAGAUAUCGUGAGGAAGACCAGUUGCGAAGGCGACUCUCUGGGCAAUUCCUGACACUGUGGCACGAAGGCCAGGGGAGCAAACGGGA